rnacentral:rRNA from 1 species
AUACGUAGGUGGCAAGCGUUAUCCGGAUUUAUUGGGUUUAACGGGUGCGCAGGCGGCCAUUUAAGUCAGCGGUUAAAUCGUGGGGCUCAACCCCAUUCUGCCGUUGAUACUGGGUGGCUUGAUUGCGGUCGAGGUUGGCGGAAUUCGUUGUGUAGCGGUGAAAUGCAUAGAUAUGACGAAGAACACCGAUUGCGUAGGCAGCUGACCAGACCGCAAAUGACGCUCAUGCACGAAAGUGCGGGGAUCGAACAGGAUUAGAUACCCUGGUAGUCCGCACAGUAAACGAUGAAUACUUGUUUUCGGCGAUAUAAUGUCGGAGGCAAAGCGAAAGCGAUAAGUAUUCCACCUGGGGAGUACGCCGGCAACGGUGAAACUCAAAUGAAUUGACGGGG